rnacentral:rRNA from 1 species
UGGGGAAUAUUGGACAAUGGGGGAAACCCUGAUCCAGCCAUGCCGCGUGCGUGAAGAAGGCCUUAGGGUUGUAAAGCGCUUUCGGCGGGGAAGAUGAUGACGGUACCCGCAGAAGAAGCCCCGGCCAACUACGUGCCAGCAGCCGCGGUAAGACGUAGGGGGCGAGCGUUGUCCGGAUUUAUUGGGCGUAAAGAGCUCGUAGGCGGUUGCGUAAGUCGGAUGUGAAAACUCAGGGCUCAACCCUGAGACGCCAUCCGAUACUGCGCUGACUUGAAUCCAGUAGGGGAGUGUGGAAUUCCUGGUGUAGCGGUGAAAUGCGCAGAUAUCAGGAGGAACACCCAUGGCGAAGGCAGCACUCUGGGCUGGUAUUGACGCUGAGGAGCGAAAGCAUGGGUAGCGAACAGGAUUAGAUACCCAAGUAGUCCCUGAGCGGGCUGGCAAGGCGCAU